rnacentral:rRNA from 1 species
AACGAACGCUGGCGGCAUGCCUAACACAUGCAAGUCGAGCGAGGACUUCGGUCCUAGCGGCGGACGGGGUAGUAACGCGUGGGAACGUGCCCUUUGCUUCGGAAUAGCUCUGGGAAACUGGGAGUAAUACCGGAUGAGCCCUUUGGGGGAAAGAUUUAUCGGCGAAGGAUCGGCCCGCGUUGGAUUAGGUAGUUGUUGGGGUAAUGGCCUCCCAAGCCGACGAUCCAUAACUGGGUUGGGAGGAUGAUCAGCCACACUGGGACUGAGACACGGCCCAGACUCCUACGGGAGGCAGCAGUGGGGAAUCUUAGACAAUGGGGGAAACCCUGAUCUAGCCAUGCCGCGUGAGCGAUGAAGGCCUUAGGGUUGUAAAGCUCUUUCAGCUGGGAAGAUAAUGACGGUACCAGCAGAAGAAGCCCCGGCUAACUCCGUG